rnacentral:rRNA from 1 species
GGCCUGGUCACCCUGAACACACAAGAUCUAGUCUGAUCUCUGAGGCUAAUCAGAGUCAGGGCUGGUUAGUACUUGGAUGGGAGAAAGGGAGCAGUC